ACGGCUCAGUAACACGUGGACAACCUGCCCUUAGGUUGGGUAUAAACCCGGGAAACUGGGUAUAAUACCCGAUAGGUCUCGAUUGCUGGAAUGCAUCGAGAUUUAAAGCUCCGGCGCCUAAGGAUGGGUCUGCGGCCUAUCAGGUAGUAGUGGGUGUAGCGUACCUACUAGCCUACGACGGGUACGGGUUGUGAGAGCAAGAGCCCGGAGAUGGAUUCUGAGACACGAAUCCAGGCCCUACGGGGUGCAGCAGGCGCGAAAACUUUACAAUGCUGGCAACAGCGAUAAGGGAACCUCGAGUGCCAGGUUACAAAUCUGGCUGUCGAGAUGCCUAAAAAGCAUUUCAUAGCAAGGGCCGGGCAAGACCGGUGCCAGCCGCCGCGGUAACACCGGCGGCUCGAGUGGUAACCGUUAUUAUUGGGUCUAAAGGGUCUGUAGCCGGCCGGAUAAGUCUCUUGAGAAAUCUGGCAGCUUAACUGUCAGGCUUUCAGGAGAUACUGUCUGGCUCGAGGCCGGGAGAGGUGAGAGGUACUUCAGGGGUAGGGGUGAAAUCUUGUAAUCCUUGAAGGACCACCAGUGGCGAAGGCGUCUCACCAGAACGGACCUGACGGCAAGGGACGAAAGCUAGGGGCACGAACCGGAUUAGAUACCCGGGUAGUCCUAGCCGUAAACGAUACUCGCUAGGUGUCGGCCACGGUGCGACCGUUGUCGGUGCCGUAGGGAAGCCGUGAAGCGAGCCACCUGGGAAGUACGGCCGCAAGGCUGAAACUUAAAGGAAUUGGCGGGGGAGCACCACAACGGGUGGAGCUUGCGGUUUAAUUGGAUUCAACGCCGGAAAUCUUACCGGGACCGACAGCAAUAUGAAGGCCAGGCUGAAGACUUUGCCGGAUUAGCUGAGAGGUGGUGCAUGGCCGUCGUCAGUUCGCACUGUGAAGCAUCCUGUUAAGUCAGGCAACGAGCGAGACCCCCACC
rnacentral:rRNA from 1 species